rnacentral:rRNA from 1 species
AACGAACGCUGGCGGCAUGCCUAACACAUGCAAGUCGAACGAGACCUUCGGGUCUAGUGGCGCACGGGUGCGUAACGCGUGGGAACCUGCCCUUAGGUUCGGAAUAACUCCCCGAAAGGGGUGCUAAUACCGCAUAAUGUCUUCGGACCAAAGAUUUAUCGCCUUUGGAUGGGCCCGCGUUGGAUUAGCUAGUUGGUAGGGUAAAAGCCUACCAAGGCGACGAUCCAUAGCUGGUCUGAGAGGAUGAUCAGCCACACUGGGACUGAGACACGGCCCAGACUCCUACGGGAGGCAGCAGUGGGGAAUAUUGGACACUGGGAGAAAGCCUGAUCCAGCAAUGCCGCGUGAGUGAUGAAGGCCUUAGGGUUGUAAAGCUCUUUUAGCCGGGAUGAUAAUGACAGUACCGGGAGAAUAAGCUCCGGCUAACUACGUG